ACCUGCUCUGUGCCCUGCGGGCCCGGGGGCACCGUCCCGAGGCGGUCGGGGGGCUGCAGGUCCUGGGGGGGUUCCUGAGGGGGCCCCUCACCAAGAUGGGGGGGCGCAUCAAGACCUGGAGGCGCCGCUGGUUCCACCUCGACCCCCACAGGAGGGUCCUGGCCUACUAUGGGGACCAGGCGCAGACGAAGCUCAAGGGGGUGAUUUAUUUCCAGGCCAUCGAGGAGGUUUGAGUAACGACCCGGCAGGGUGGCCGGAAAGAGCCCCAACCCCCGGCUGACCUUCUGCCUCAAGACCUACGAGCGGCUCUUCUGGCUCGUGGCUCCCUCGGCCGAGGCGCUCCGGAUCUGGAUGGACGCCGUGCUCACCCUCACCCGCGGCGGGGCGGCCUUCUGAACCUCAAAAAAAACCCAAACAACCCACAGGAUCCCCCUCCCCAGAAA